rnacentral:lncRNA from 1 species
CUCCCUCUCUUCCUCUCUGAUUUCUCCGAUUGAAGUCGCGGCCCCUUGAUUCGUGCACGCCGCGAUUUCUUGCCAGCGAGAUCACCGGAGGUUGAGGUAAACUCUCCUUCCUCUUCCUCUCUCCUCUCUCCUUUUUUUUGUGCCUUUGUGCACAACUAUCAGUGACAAAUGUCGCUGGAUUUCGUUGGAGAAGGGACCCUCUCUUUGGUCUCUUCUUCUCUUUGAUUUUUCAGUACCGACGAUCACUGCCGACCGUCGGUUUUGACCUCUCCAAACUCGAGAGGGUUGCUCCCCUACUGUUGGCCUUCACCGUGCCGGCUCCAGUCCGGACGGUCGGUUAAAGGGAGGGACCUGUCGGUCCCCUAUUUUGGCC